GCGUGCGCACGCGAGCCGGGCCCUCGGCGCCCCCCGCAGGCCGCGAGCCCGUCCUGCGUCGUCUGCGAUCGGCCGCUCCGGGGUGUCGCCCCAGAUGUUCCCUGGGACUCCAUCGGUAGUUGCUUAAAAAAAAAAAAAAAAAAAAAAAAAAAAAAAAAAACUCUUACUGCACAAAGGCGUGGGUUUCCACGAGAACGGAAAACUUUAUGGUUACUAAAAAACUGCAUCAUCCUGCGCGCAGUUCCGAAUAAUUUGCUCAGUGAUUUGCGCACCAACACCUUGUUUGGCCUGGCUCCUCUGGAAAUGCUUCCCGCUGUUCUGCGUGCGUGGCCCUGAUGAGACCUGAUCCUUGCUCUCUGGAGGCCUUCGUUCUAGUGGGAGGGACAAAGGCAAACUCGAUGGCCCGGGGAGCACUAAGCGCUAUAAUGAAAAAGCGAGUAGAAGCUGGGCUCUGGCCCAAGAGGGCAGAUGGAGAGGCAGAAGCAGGGAGCACUCUUGGGAGCAGCUGGCAGGGGAGCACGGUGGCGGGGGGCGGGGAGCUGAGUGUACGGGAAACCCUGAGCCCCAAGAGCGAGAGGCAGGAGGCAGGUGAGGACCGGGUCAUUGGUAGCAUACUGAAGAAUAUGAUGGAAUUCAAAUAUGCUUGUGAAUAGACUUCUAGGACUUGCUGGAUGAGGAAAGGAUUAAGGAUGUCUUCUAGGAUUUCUGUCAGAGCAGCCUGGUGGGUGGAUGGUGGCGCCUCUUAGCAAGGAUGAGAAAGAUGGGGUUGUCUAAAAGACUAAAAGACUGAGUUUUCUUCCCCAAAGAAGACACAUGGAUGGCCAACAGACACAUGAAAAGAUGCUCGGCACCACUGAUCAUCGGAAAUGCAAAUCAAAACCACAAUGAGAUACCAUCUCACAACCGUCAGAAUGGCUAAAAUAAAAAAUACGAGAAACAAGUGCUGACGAAGAUGUGGAGAAAUAAGAACCCUCAUGCACUGUUGGUGGGAACGCAAACUGGUGCCCCCCACUGUGGAAAACGGUAUGGAGGUAACUUUAAAAAAUUGAAAGUAGAACUACCCUAUGAUCCAGUAAUUGCACUAGUGGGUACUUGCCCAAAGAAUAAAAAAUAUUAAUUCAAAGGGA